rnacentral:rRNA from 1 species
AUGGCCACCAGGGUCCUCGACACGCUCGCCGUCGCGGCGGAGGGCGACGGGGGCUGCGGCGCGCUGCCGCUCACCUUCUUCGACGUGCCCUGGAUCUUCACCGGCCCCGUGGAGCGCGUCUUCUUCUACCCGUACCCGCACCCGCCCGAGCGGUUCCGGGCCGCCCUCCUGCCGCGCCUCGUCUCCUCCCUCUCCGCCGCGCUGGGCAGGUUCUACCCGCUCCUCGGCCGCGUCCGGCCCUGCCCGGACGGCGGCGGGUACGAGUUCUUCUUGCCCGCGGGGGGAGGGGGCGGUGGUGGCGCCGUCGAGCUCACCGUCGCCGAGAGCGAGGAUGAUUUCGACGAGCUCUCCGGCGACGGGCCCCGCGACGUCGCCCGGCUCUACUCGCUCGUGCCGCGGCUCCCGGUGGUUGAGGGGGGCGGGGACGGCGGGUUCGCGCUCGCCGCGGUCCAGGUCACCGUGUUCGCCGGGCGCGGGGUCGCCGUCGGCGUGUCGAUACACCACGUCGCCUGCGAUGACUCCAGCUACAUGCAUUUCGUGAAGACCUGGGCCGGCCACUGCCGGUUGGCCGCCGGUGGGGAGGACGCUGGCGCCGCGCUGCCCCCGCCGCCGUUCCUGGACCGCGCGGUCAUCGCGGACCCCCGAGGGCUUGCCGCCAGGACGCUCGACGAAAUGCGGCAGCUGGCGGCCAACGGGCCUCCUCCUCCGCCACCGGCGCCGGUAGGCCCGCCGCCCAAGCUGGUCAUCCGGUCGUUCACAAUCGCCCGCGGCUGCAUCGACAAGCUGAAGCAGCGCGUGGCCGCCGACGCCAAGGACGCGACCACCCACUGCUCCGCGUUCACGGUGGCGUGCGCGUUCGCGUGGGCCUGCCUGGCGCGCUCCGCCUCCGCCGACGCCCCCUCCCCCGCCUCCGACGAGCGCGCGCACCUGCUCUUCUCAGUGGAGUGCCGGCGCCGCCUGUCCCCGCCUGUGCCGCAGGAGUACCUGGGCAACUGCCUGCGGCCCUGCUUCGUGGAGGUCGGCGCGCGCGACCUGCUCGGCGCGGACGGGGUGACCACGGCCGCCGCGGCGAUCGGCGCGGCCAUCCGGGCGCUGGACGGGGACGGCGUGCUGGCGGGCGCCGAGGGGUGGUUCCAGAAGAUCCUGUCGCUGGUGCCGCGGCGGCCCAUGUCCGUGGGCGGCUCGCCGCGGUACGGCGUGUACGACACCGACUUCGGCCUGGGGCGGCCGAGCAAGGUGGAGCUGGUGUCCAUCGACAAGACGCCCGGCACGGUGUCGCUGGCCGAGGGCACCGACGGGCAGCGCGGGAUUGAGGUCGGCGUGGCGCUGCCGGAGGCCGACAUGGCGCGGUUCGCCUCAUGCUUCUCCGACGGCCUGCACCAGCUAUGA